GUUUGCUUAAGGUCCAGUGGCAAAUAGCGCAUGCAUGUUUUAGAAAGAAAUGGUUUUUUUAAGAUUUGGCCGAGGAUAAACUUCAAUAAGGCCGUAAGUUUUCUCAUUUGAAUUGUUUUACAUUGUCAUUUCGGGGCCUUUUAUAGCUGACUAUGCGGUAUGGGCUUUGCUCAUUGUUGAAGGCUAUACGGUGACCUAUAGUUGUUAAUUUCUGUGUCAUUUUGGUCUAUUGUGGAGAGUUGUCUCAUUGGCAAUCAUACCACAUCUUCUUUUUUUUUAUAUUAACCUUUUAACCAGUUUCAUAUUCGUACCAUAUAUUAUC
rnacentral:lncRNA from 1 species